rnacentral:rRNA from 1 species
CUGCAUGGGUGUUGUCAGCUCGUGCCGUGAGGUGUUGGGUUAAGUCCCGCAACGAGCGCAACCCCCAUUUUUAGUUGCCAUCAGGUAAAGAUGGGGAAUUUUAAGAAAAUGCCGUGGUAAAAAGCGAGGAAAGGGGGGGGGAGGUCAAGUCUUCAUGGCCCUUAUGCCCGGGGGUACACACGUGUUACAAAGGGGAGGACAAAGGGGAGCGACACGGCGACAUGAUGCCAAUCUCUCA